GGGGUGUGGCUGAGUGGUUAAAGCGAUAGACUUGAGCUCUAUU
rnacentral:tRNA from 13 species